GGCAGGAUGGCAUAAUGGAUAGAGAGCUAGUCUUGAAACCCAGAAGAUGUAGGUUCAAAUCUUUCCUCUACCA
rnacentral:tRNA from 1 species